GCCCAUUGAUGAGAAUAUGGCAGAUAUCGGAUAAGAUCAAACCAUGAGAUAAUCCUCUAGUUCUCUGUUCGGUGGGUAAUCUUGACAGUGUGGUGUAGUUUUACUGCAUUGUUGUAAGGGUCCACCUACAGUUAAUCUGACUCCUUCUUUCAACUGCCUCUCUUUAAAGAAAAUGAGAUUGGACAGGGAAGAUGUCAAACAAUGUAUGCAUAUGUGUGUGUGAGUAAUGAGUGAUUUGUAGAAUGGACAACUAGAGGAUUUUCUGUUUAAAUGGUUUGACUUGUAUGAAAUCUUCUUUGGUAAUCUGAGGGCU